AAUAUUGGGCAAUGGGCGAAAGCCUGACCCAGCAACGCCGCGUGAAGGAAGAAGGUCUUCGGAUUGUAAACUUCUGUCGUCAGGGACGAAAAAGGACGGUACCUGGCAAGAAAGCCCCGGCUAACUACGUGCCAGCAGCCGCGGUAAUACGUAGGGGGCGAGCGUUGUCCGGAAUUACUGGGCGUAAAGGGCGCGUAGGCGGCCUGUUAAGUUAGAUGUGAAAUCCCCGGGCUCAACUUGGGUGUUGCAUUUAAAACUGGCAGGCUUGGGUGCAGGAGAGGAAAGUGGAAUUCCUAGUGUAGCGGUGAAAUGCGUAGAUAUUAGGAGGAACACCAGUGGCGAAGGCGACUUUCUGGACUGUAACUGACGCUGAGGCGCGAGAGCGUGGGGAGCAAACAGG
rnacentral:rRNA from 1 species